rnacentral:rRNA from 1 species
GAUGAACGCUGGCGGCGUGCCUAAUACAUGCAAGUCGAGCGAACAGACGAGGAGCUUGCUCCUUUGACGUUAGCGGCGGACGGGUGAGUAACACGUAGGUAACCUACCUAUAAGACUGGGAUAACUUCGGGAAACCGGAGCUAAUACCGGAUAAUAUUUCGAACCGCAUGGUUCGAUAGUGAAAGAUGGCUUUGCUAUCACUUAUAGCUGGACCUGCGCCGUAUUAGCUAGUUGGUAAGGUAACGGCUUACCAAGGCAACGAGACGUAGCCGACCUGAGAGAGUGAUCGGCCACACUGGAACUGAGACACUGUCCAGACUCCGACGGGAGGCAGCAGUAGGGAAUCUUACGCAAUGGGCGAAAGCCUGACGGAGCAACGCCGCGUGAGUGAUGAAGGUCUUCGGAUCGUAAAACUCUGUUAUUAGGGAAGAACAAACGUGUAAGUAACUGUGCACGUCUUGACGGUACCUAAUCAGAAAGCCACGGCUAACUACGUG